GAUGAACGCUGGCGGCGUGCCUAAUACAUGCAAGUCGAGCGAAUGGAUUAAGAGCUUGCUCUUAUGAAGUUAGCGGCGGACGGGUGAGUAACACGUGAGUAACCUGCCCAUAAGACUGGGAUAACUCCGGGAAACCGGGGCUAAUACCGGAUAACAUUUUGAACCGCAUGGUUCGAAAUUGAAAGGCGGCUUCGGCUGUCACUUAUGGAUGGACACGCGUCGCAUUAGCUAGUUGGUGAGGUAACGGCUCACCAAGGCAACGAUGCGUAGCCGGCCUGGGAGGGUGAUCGGCCACACUGGGACUGAGACACGGCCCAGACUCCUACGGGAGGCAGCAGUAGGGAAUCUUCCGCAAUGGACGAAAGUCUGACGGAGCAACGCCGCGUGAGUGAUGAAGGCUUUCGGGUCGUAAAACUCUGUUGUUAGGGAAGAACAAGUGCUAGUUGAAUAAGCUGGCACCUUGACGGUACCUAACCAGAAAGCCACGGCUAACUACGUGCCAGCCGCCGCUGUAA
rnacentral:rRNA from 1 species